UGGAUUAGUUCUCAUCGAUGUCG
rnacentral:miRNA from 1 species